UGGGGAAUAUUGCACAAUGGGCGCAAGCCUGAUGCAGCCAUGCCGCGUGUGUGAAGAAGGCCUUCGGGUUGUAAAGCACUUUCAGCGAGGAGGAAGGUGGUGAGCUUAAUACGCUCAUCAAUUGACGUUACUCGCAGAAGAAGCACCGGCUAACUCCGUGCCAGCAGCCGCGGUAAUACGGAGGGUGCAAGCGUUAAUCGGAAUUACUGGGCGUAAAGCGCACGCAGGCGGUUUGUUAAGUCAGAUGUGAAAUCCCCGGGCUCAACCUGGGAACUGCAUUUGAAACUGGCAAGCUAGAGUCUCGUAGAGGGGGGUAGAAUUCCAGGUGUAGCGGUGAAAUGCGUAGAGAUCUGGAGGAAUACCGGUGGCGAAGGCGGCCCCCUGGACGAAGACUGACGCUCAGGU
rnacentral:rRNA from 1 species